rnacentral:lncRNA from 1 species
AUACAGCGCAAAGGUCCCUGAUUCUAAAGGCCAUGAAUGAAAUUACAUCAAAAACUGUUGUCCGUGGUUCUCGCUGUAUUUAUUUCACUCCAAGAACACACCAACCAGAUUAUUUGGAUAUUAAACCUGAUGUCGGGUAAUAAUAGUUUGCUUAAUCAUAUUGGGUUUGUUUGACUGACUGAUAGCACAAGAAAGCCUUUAUUCACAUUUAUUUAAAGAGAAUUUAUGGGUAGAGAAAGAAGGGGUGGAGUUUCAAGUGAAGUUCCCCAUAUCCUAUAAGGGAAGGAAAAAUCAAGAGGAAUUGUUCUCCUUCCUUUUUUUAUACUUUUCAGUUGCAGAAAUUAGUUUUGUAAAUAUAAAAAAUGUAAGAACCACAUAGUAAAGUUUAACAAGAAACUCUACAUGCAAGUUCAAGGUGCAGCCAUUGAUGUCGGUAUAGCUGGAGAUGUGGCCAGCCUCUUCAUGAUCUGAUGGGACAGAAAACUUAAGCAAUCCUUAGCAGAACAGACCACUAUUCUUCUACUUUAUAAUAGGAGUGUAGAUGACAUAAAUAUUUUAGUUAAGACCAACUCUAGUAACAGUAAUGUAGAAACUGAGAGGAACAUAAUGGAGAGUAUCCAGCAAGUAGCUAACUCCAUCCACCAAAGUAUCAAGGUAACUUUAGAUUACCCCACUAGGCACCCUGUCCUUGAUACUGAACUUUGGUUAGAGACUGUGAACAAUAGAGUGCAGUUCCUCCACUCCUAUUACAUGAAACCCAUACUCAGCCUUGUGACACAACAUGAAAAUUAACAUACUGAUAGCAGACUUAGGAUAAUUAACAACGUGUCCCCACUAUGCAAACCCUAUGAAACGAAGAAACAUGUACAGAACUUCAAGCACCGCAUGCAGUUCUCUGGAUGUGAUCAGAAAUAUAGGUGUGCUAGAAAGAAGUUAGAUAACAUUAUAUGUAAUGAAAUCAGUGGCACCUGCCCUAGAUAUAGAAGUAAAGCCUGGAAUAGAAUACAAAAAGCUUGUGACAACGCAAACGGUGAACACGUGGUAUAAAACCGACAAAUAUCAAGGAGUGAUGUUUGUUGAUGCCACAGCCCAUAGAGAACUAGCCCAUAAAUUUAGGAAAGCUCUGAAGGAGACUAAACUCAACAUUAAGAUUGUUGAAAAGCCAGGGAACCCCAUCAGGUCACAUGCAUAGAAAGUGCUUGUAAAGACGUGAACAUGACAUACAUAGGGGAGACAUCUAGGAGCAUUGCGGAAAUACUAAAUGAAUAUUUGAGACAAUAUGAUGAUAAAAAAAACAGUCUUCCACACUCUAUCAACAUGCCACGGACCUGGAUGCAACCUCGGUGAACUUGCCUUCCCAUUUUAUCCAAGCACCCAAAGGACCCAAGAUUCAGGCAAAUACAGGAGUACGACCUCAUAAAUGAAACAUCUCCAGUACUAAAUAGGAAAUAUACGUAGUAGAUAAUCAUACCUCCAUACCCACAGUUUAUAUUUAUAUACAAGUAGAAUAGUUAGCGGGUUGUUAUGUAGAUGUGUGUUUGUGUGUGUGUAUGUGUAUAUGUAUAUGUAUAUGCACAUGUAUGUAGGCAAAUGGAUAUGAAAGUAAACAGCUAGACAUACAGACGGAUAGGUACACAGAUAAUAUGACAAGCACACAUACACACAUAUACGCAAAUGAAGACUGAAACACAUGACCAUAUACGCACACACUUCACUUUUUAUUUGUAUUAUCGUAAUAUCUAUUUCUAAGAGCAUAAUUAUCUAAAUAAAUCUUAUGAUAAUUUUUAAUUUUAUUAUUAUAAAAAUCAUUAAAAUUAUAAUCCUUUAUAUUAUAAUUAUUAAUAUUAUUAUUAUCAUUAUCAUUAUUAUUAUUAUUAUUAUUAUUAUUAUUAUUAUUAUUAUUAAAAAAAAUUAAUAUUAUCAUCAUAUCCUGCAUCUCGCAGGGCUUCAUUAUAAUAAGGUGCAUGUUUAUUGAAAAUUUCUAAAUCAUAAGAAAGUAAUGAUAUUCGUUUACCAAUAUUAUUUAUCAACGUUUAGAAGCACAUCUUUUGUUGAUUAGAUAUUUAGUAUCAAUCCUUUGUUCUUGGAUAGUAGAAGCAUGAAACAUCUCCAGUACUAAAUAGGAAAUAUACGUAGUAGAUAAUCAUACCUCCUUACCCACAGUUUAUAUUUAUAUACAAGUAGAAUAGUUAGCGGGGUGUUAUGUAGAUGUGUGUUUGUGUGUGUGUAUGUGUAUAUGUAUAUGCAUACCUAAUCAACAAAAGAUAUGCUUCUAAACGUUGAUAAAUAAUAUUGGUAAACGAAUAUCAUUACUUUCUUAUGAUUUAGAGAUUUUCAAUAAACAUGCACCUUAUUAUAAUGAAGCCCUACGAGAGGUAGGAUAUGAUAAUAAUAUUAAAUUUUUUAAUAAUAAUAAUAAUAAUAAUAAUAAUAAUAAUAAUAAUAAUAAUAAUAGUAAUGAUAAUGAUAAUAAUAAUGUUAAUAAUUAUAAUAUAAAGGAUUAUAAUUUUAAUGAUUUUUAUAAUAAUAAAAUUUUAAAUUAUCAUAAGAUUUAUUUAGAUAAUUAUGCUCUUAGGAAUAGACAUUACGAUAAUACAAAUAAUAAGAAUAAUAAUAGAAGAAAAAACAAAAACAAAAAUAAAAAUAAGACUAAUUUUAAUUCAAUGAAUGAUAAUAAUAAUUUUAAUAAUAUUAAAAAGAAAUAUAAUAAUAAUAAUAAUAAUAAUAAUAAUAAUAAUAAUAAUAAUAAUAAUAAUAAUAAUAAUAACAAUAAUAGGAAUAAAAUUUGGUUGAUUGUUCUUUAUGGGGCUCAACUUAAAAUUAAUAUUAUUAAAGAGAUUUUAGAUAUAAUUGAACGAUUCAUUCGGGAUAAUCGAAAAUAUAAAAAAAUUUUCUCUAGUAAUAAUUUUGGAGUUGGUUAUUCUACCACUAAUAAUGUAGGUAACAUUAUUUCUUCUUUUAAUAAAUUUAAGUUGAAUAAUUUUUACAAAAAGAAAUUUUAUAAUGAUUCCAAUAAUAUAAUAAAGAUAACGUUCUAAUUGAUUGUACAUGUAGAGAUAAAAAUAAAUGUAAAUUUAAUAAAAAAUGUAAGUUACACGAUGUAGUUUAUAAAUGUAUAGUUACUUUAAUUGAUGAGAAUAAAUAAAUAAUAUCUAAUAAUCAUAAUAAAUUAGUUAAUUCAUUGAACAAGCGUAAAAUUAAAUGUAGACAUAAAUUACUUUACUUAUAUAAAAACUUUUAGAUAAAUAGCGAGUAUAUUUAAACCCUAUAUUUGUUACUAAUUUGUACUUAUAAUUUGUUCUAGUAUUAAUUCUAUAAAUUAGCAUGUGAUUAUAUAUUGUAUAUUACAUAAUUAAAUGAGUCUAAAUUAAAUAUUUAUUAUUAAAUAAAUAAAUUAAUUAAUUAAUUAUUAUAGUGUUGUGGUUGUAGUUUUGUAGGGGUGUUUUGAAUAUAAAUCAAAAAGAGUUAGUAUAGGUUUUUUUACAUACUUAGAGUUAGAUUAUACUUUGAUGUUUAUUUAAUUAAUAAAUAUAUAAUUUAAUUCAUGAAUAUAGAUUAAAAGAUAGUAAUUUAAUUAUUAUUACUGUUAUUAUUAUUAUUAUUAAAUGUGUACUAAAAUCAAAAGUAUUAAGUAUUAUUAUUUUGGGAAAUAGUUAGUAACGUAAAAUACUUUUGAAUAUGUAGUAAAAACUUUUUUAUGUACUAUUUUAUUUAAUAAUAAUAAUAAGUACUUUAUUCCCUUAAUGAUCUAAAUAUAAAUUAAUUUACAUAUAUAAUAAGUUUAAUUUAUUAGUGAGGAUUUAUUUGAGCAUUUAUUUGAUAUAUAAUAUAUAUUUGGUAUAAGUGAUAUUGUAGUUUAUGUUUUGUAGUGGUGUUUUGUAUAUUAGUCAACAUGAGUUUGUAUUAAAUAUUUAGAAUUAGAUUUAUUUUAGAUGUUUAUUUUAGAUGUUUAUUUAAUUAGCUUGCUUACGAAACACAUGGUUCCGGGUUCAGUCCCACUGCGUGGCACCUUGGGCAAGUAUCUGCUACUAUAGCCUCGGGCCGACCAAAGCCUUGUGAGUGAAUUUGGUAGACGGAAACUGAAAGAAGCCCGUCGUAUAUGUGUAUAUAUAUAUGUAUGUAUGUGUGUAUAUAUGUUUGUGUGUCUGUGUUUGUCCUACCUACCAUCACUUCACAACCAAUAUUGGUGUGUUUACAUCCCUAUAACUUAGCGGUUCGGCAAAAGAGACCGAUAGAAUAAGUACUAGGCUUACAAAGAAUAAGUCCUGGGGUAGAUUUGCUCGACUAAAGGCGGUGCCCCAGCAUGGCCACAGUCAAAUGACUGAAACAAGUAAAAAAAAAAGAGUAUAUAUAAAUAUAAUAUAAUUUAUUAAAUACGAUUUAUUAGUGAAUAUUAAUUAGAUUAUAGUUUUUAGAUUAACUUAGAUAUAUCAAAUUAGUGGUUAGAAAAUUGAGACCGAUUGAAUAAGUACUGUGUUUAUAUAGAAUGGCUCCAGGGGUUGAUUUGUUCGAAUAAAGGCGGGGUUCCAGCGUAACAAUAUUUAUAUGAAUGAAACAAGUAAAUUAGUAUAAGGGUAAUAGAGAAUAUAGAGUAAAUUGUAGUUAUAUAAAUAAGUUUAAGUAUGUUGUGAAUUUGAGUAUAUUUGUGUUUUACGUGUUUUCGUAGUAAUUUUUGAAUUUUGAAGUUUCUAGUGAAUGAUAUCUUACAGUUAGUGAUUUUAUUUUAUUUUUGUGAUUUUAUUCUCUUUUUGUUAAAGCUAAGAUAAAUUUGUAGUUUUCACUGAUAAAAUGCAUAUUUCUAUCUGUUUGUUCUAUUUAUUUAAGCUACGUCUUCAGGAGUAAAUUUAUAAACGCUAAGUAAUACGUUUUCCAUUUUGAAAUUUUUUAGUUCAGAAUAUAUCUUUGGAGGGAUAAGUAUACAAUUUAUUUAAGAAAUAAUAAUGUAAUCUAUAGUAUUAUUGAUUGAUAAAUAUGAAUGUCUAAUUUUUUUUUGUUAAUGAUAACUUAGAUCCGUACAUUUAUUUAAUUAUUCUUAUUUUAUAAUUAUUAUAUGUGAACUUCAAUUGAAAAAUAUUAGUUUGGUUACUUUGUGAAUUAGAUUGUAAAAUUUUUAGUAUAGGUAAAGUUUUUUUAUUAUAUUUAGUACUAUUGAAUUUAAUAAUAAUAAUAAUAAUAAUAAUAAUAAUAAUAAUAAUAAUAAUAAGUACUUUUUCGCAAAUAAUUUUAUAAACGAUAAGUAAUACGAUUUUAGUUUUGGAAUUUUUUAUUUUUUAUUACAUAAAUAUUUUCGGAUUAAGUAUAAUAUUUAUUUAAGAAAUAAUGGAGGAAUUUAUUUAUUAAUUUAUAUGUUUAUUGAUUGACAAAUAUGGAUUUCUAAUUGCUAUAUUUGUUCAUUAUAAUUUAUAUACGUACUUUUAUUUAAUUUUAUAAUUUUAUUAUUUUAUAAUUAUUAUAUGUGAACUAAAAUCUAAAAGUAUUAAGUGUGAUUGUUUUGUAAAAUAGUUUGUAACGAAAAAUAUUGGAGUAUAGCUAGUGAAAAGAUACUCUAUAGUUUGUUAAUGUUAUUCUUAAAGCUAAAUUAUAUCUUCACAGAUAAAGACCUUUUGCUAUGUAUUUACUCUAUUUUUACCUUAGGUAAAAUACAUGAUAAAUGUAUUAUAGGCACCUGGUCCUACUCUUUAAGUUUCAAAUUUAGUUAAUGGGGUUUCUUCUAUAAGAAAAAUCAUGAUAUUAUUUCUUUAAGAAAUAUUGUUUAAUUCUAUUUCAUUAUUUAUUUAGCUAUUAUUGCUAUUAUUGUUGACCUGAGGAUUGACUAUACUUUUAAAUUGAAUUGUUUUUCGAUUAAAUUUAAAUUUAAUUGUAAUUCGAAUUUAAAUUAUAGCCAUGAAACGAUCGUAGUCUUUUUACUUAUUAUAUAUUGUUUAUUCAUUUUUGUACUUUUUGUGAUCUAGUUACAUGUUUUAUAAUAUAUUUUAUUUUUUCUUUAUGAUUUGGUUUGUCUAUCAUUUUUUGAAUUGCAUAAUGGUGGUUUUUCUCUAAUUUAUACAUAUUAUAUAUUUAUAUUGGGAAAUUUGAUUUAAUACUAAAUUGAAUAUUUCCCUGUAAGUUUGGAGUUAUACUCCCUAAUAUUAUUGUUGUUGUUAUUAUUAUUAUUAUUAUUAUUAUUAUUAUUAUUAUUAUUAUACAUAUAAUAUAUAUAUAUAUAUAUAUACAUGUAUAUGUAUAUAUAUAUAUUUAUAUAUAUGUAUAUAUAUAUAUAUAUAUAUAUAUAUAUAUAUAUAUAUAUAUAUAUAUAUAAGUGUGUGUGUGUGUGUGUGUGUGUGUGUGUGUGUAUGUAUAUAUAUAUAUAUUUAAGCUAAGUUAAGUUAAGUUUAUUUUUUGGCUCAAAAAGCAAGAAGUAAGGCCAUAUAGGGGGACAUGGAGUUAUGUACAGGGUGGUGUUCAUGCAAAGAGUUCAGGCCAUUUCUGGUCAAGAGAGAAUUUGAACCGAGCGAUCGUCGGCAUCUUCACUAUCUCGUCCGGCAGCUUAUUCCACGGAUCCGCAACCCGGAUGGAGAAAGCCCCUCUCCUUCGAUUGAGAUGAAAUCGUCGCAGAUAGAGCUUUUCGGAGUGACCCCGCAGCCGACGCUCUGGAGCAGGAGUGAAGAACAGCUCUUUCGAGAGGUUACACUUUCCGCUUAUGAUGUUGUGAGCAAGAAUGAGAUCACCACGGCGUCGUCGUUUUUCUAGAGAAUAAAGGUCGAGCGUCUUCAGACUUUCUUCAUAAGACAAAUGCUUGAGACCAAGAACCAUGCGAGUAGCCAGCUUCUGGACUCUUUCGAGAUGAUGUAUGUAUUUGAGGAGAUAAGGAGAAGAGGCUUGAAUCCCAUACUCCAAUAUGGGUCUCACCUGCGUGACAUAAAGCGGUAGGAAUAUGGCUGCUGUGAGCAUUCCGAAUGACCGUCGAAUCAAAAACAUAACUCCGCGUGCUUUGUUGGCAGCAUGGACGCACUGGGCCGAAGGCGGAAAGGAAGAAUCCACCAAGAUACCUAGGUCCUUUACCUAGUCGGUCCUCUCCAGCAGCAGACGACCCGGCUCGAAAUCAAGUUGAGUUGCAGGAGAAGAGCCAACAGAUAUAUAUAUAUAUAUAUAUAUAUAUAUAUAUUUAUAUAUAUACAAGAAAUAAUUGAGAUUCAGUUGAAUUAGGUAUUUAAGUUGAAGCAACAAGUUAGUCUGGUAUUAUCCGCACAGCUCGAAGUAAGGUUAUUAAAAUCAAAAUAAGCAACAGGAUAUCAAGAAGUGAUGCAAUACGACCGUUUCAAGUGGCUCCAUUUAAUUGAACAAUACAAUCAUUACAUCAAUUUAAUGCAGUGCUAUCAUCAGCUGCACAAAUAAAUAGAAUUUUAACCAGUUGGACACAUUAAUAUAAUUUUUCUCAAAUACUUUAACAGACCAAGAAGUUGGAAGAAAUUCAUGUUGUCACUAUUGUAACUUAGAAAGACUACACUUCCAAGAAUGGUAUGAAGUCCACUGGGGUCGUAGCUUGUAAAGGAUUGAAGUUCAUUUCGAACUUAUUUGUCUUUUUAUUAACUACUAAAUCUAAGACUAGGAGACUAUGUCUGUUUAGAAUGAAGGACAAGAAUGAGUUGAUGGCUCAUGGCUAGGUAUGGUCAUAAAUAUUGUCAUAUGUAUCUCUUUUCGUCAGGGAGGGAAGAAGACAUUAGGUGUAGUAAAUUGGAUCUAGAGUAACUGCCAAUAAAAGAAGGUUGGAUAAGGGAAGACUCUAAAUCAUGAUGUUAAUUACCAGUUAAAUGGGCAAGAUACUAAUAAAACCUAGGUUGUUAAUACAGAGGAAAUUUUAUCUUGGGGUACUAUGGGUAUGUUCUACCAAAGUAAGUAAAAAACCACCAGAUACUGUAUUAAAAGCUGUUAAUGAAAUUGAUGAGGAGUAUUUACAGCAGUGUGAUGAACCCACAUACUGGCAGAUUAACGCAUAUCUAUAUGCUCUAGCUACUACCAUAAAACAGUAUAUGAAUGAUAUUCAAAAAGUAAACAAAACUGAAAUAACAAAGAAAGUACCAUCGUUAGUUUUGAAGACAGAGAAAAAGAUAACUGGUUUAUGGAAGACUAUCAGUCAUGUAAUGAUGCUUAUUGCAUGCAAACAAACAAAUCCCUAUACGUCCCACCAACAGAGAAUAAAGGAGAUAGAAGUGAUGUUUGGAGAUAGCAAACUGAUUACCCGCAAGCAGGAGCUAAAAGCUACCAGUGAAAAACUCCGACAUCAGAAGAGAAUAACUGAGAGAAGAACAAUAAACAAAGAAUUUAACCACAACCAGACAGCAGUAUACUGAGACAUGAGAGGAGGAGCAGUAAACAUCAUGGAAGCUCCUUCCCGAGAAGACAUAAACUCCUUCUGGAGGGAAAUCUGGAGUGAAGAGAAGGAAUUUACACAUUCAUACAUACAUACAUACAUACAUACAUACAUACAUACAUACAUACAUACAUACAUACAUACAUACAUACAUACAUACAUACAUACAUACAUACAUACAUACAUACAUACAUACAUACAUACAUACAUACAAACAAAAAUACCCUGUUGUUGAUGUUGGAAGUCCAAUGAAGGAGCUCUGGAUCUUGGUUAGAAACUAGUUCUUUCUCUAUUGGCAAGAAAUCUUGAAAUAAACUGAAUAAUGGCAUAUAUACAUACAUACUCCCAUUUCUUUACUUCCAGCUGUUUUUCUUCUGUUGGGAAGAAUGGUGGAAGCCAGACCCUUUCUUUGGAACCAGAUUGCUUCUACAAAGGCACCAUUAUGCAUGAAUUGCUGCAUUCUGUUGGUCUUUGGCAUGAACAAAGUCGUACAGACCGAGAUAAUUAUGUAACAGUGAACUAUGAAAACAUUCUUGCUG